rnacentral:rRNA from 1 species
CACGUAGCGAGCAAGCGUUGUCCGGAUUUAUUGGGCGUAAAGAGCUCGUAGGUGGUUCGAUAAGUCGGGUGUGAAAACUCUGGCUCAACUCAGAGACGCCACUCGAUACUGUCGUGACUGGAGUCUGGUAGGGGAGUGUGGAAUUCCCAGUGUAGCGGUGAAAUGCGCAGAUAUUGGGAGGAACACCAGUGGCGCAAGCGGCGCCCUGGCCGUGACCUGACACUGAGCCACGACGGCGUGGGGAGCAAACGGG